CCAAUGGUGCUUGCUGGUAACAAUAUCGCCUUAUCAGCUCAUCUCUCCUAGUAUUUCUAACCCGACAGGUUUACCUCAAAACCCGUCCCUGCAGACAAACUUUAAAGGGACAUCAUAACUACUACUGCUGCAUUCAAGUAGUUUGUUACACUGGAACCAUAUGUGCAUCAAGUCAGCUGGAAAUGUUACAGUGAAAAAGAUCACUCCCUCGUAUUUUAUGAUGAAGUAAGCAUUGCAAUCGGGAAGUGCAGGAUUUGCCAUUGUCAACAAGAGGGUUGCCGAUGCGACAUUGGCUUUAAAUUGUAGUUUAGAAAUUAACGUUAGCUGGUACUCAAGGGCAAAAG